rnacentral:rRNA from 1 species
GACGAACGCUGGCGGCGUGCCUAAUACAUGCAAGUUGAGCGCUGAAGGUUGGUACUUGUACCAACUGGAUGAGCAGCGAACGGGUGAGUAACGCGUGGGGAAUCUGCCUUUGAGCGGGGGACAACAUUUGGAAACGAAUGCUAAUACCGCAUAAAAACUUUAAACACAAGUUUUAAGUUUGAAAGAUGCAAUUGCAUCACUCAAAGAUGAUCCCGCGUUGUAUUAGCUAGUUGGUGAGGUAAAGGCUCACCAAGGCGAUGAUACAUAGCCGACCUGAGAGGGUGAUCGGCCACAUUGGGACUGAGACACGGCCCAAACUCCUACGGGAGGCAGCAGUAGGGAAUCUUCGGCGAUGGACGAAAGUCUGACCGAGCAACGCCGCGUGAGUGAAGAAGGUUCUCGGAUCGUAAAACUCUGUUGGUAGAGAAGAACGUUGGUGAGAGUGGAAAGCUCAUCAAGUGACGGUAACUACCCAGAAAGGGACGGCUAACUACGUG